rnacentral:lncRNA from 1 species
UGCUAAUCGAUGAAUUAAAGCAUGAUAUACAAGAAUCGAACUAUACACGUCGACUAAACAUGCACUUAGGAGCGAAACCGAUGAUAACCCACCUCUAGUGAAAUUCCUGGCAGCAAGAGGAUCUCGGAUCACCAGCAACACUGCUAGAAACACCACCAAACCAGCAACAAAGCCCCUCAAGAUCUAGAUAUUACAAUUCACCCAAAAUUCACAAAAACCAUCAAUUUCAGCACUUAAGCUAGGAUUUAUCUAAUUUCAAUGUCGAAACUCACCUAAUGAUCUCCAAUUCGGGUGAGGACAGAUCCAAAUCCAACAACUACUGAUGGGUGAUCAAUCUCAGGUCCAAAAUCCCACUGCCUACAAAGUUAGCAUCAAGAAAAGCUCAAAAUCCCAAUUUUCAGCUCAAAGUCAACAGCAGUCCAGAAAAACCUCAGUUCGACCAAGCUAACCUCAUCCAAAAUCUGCAAUUCAGGCCUUCGUGGAUUCCUCUGGAAGUCUAGAAUCCAGCAAACCAAGUUUC